rnacentral:rRNA from 1 species
GAUGAACGCUGGCGGCGUGCUUAACACAUGCAAGUCGAACGGAGUGCCUUUGAAAGAGGAUUCGUCCAAUUGAUAAGGUUACUUAGUGGCGGACGGGUGAGUAACGCGUGAGGAACCUGCCUUGGAGUGGGGAGUAACACAGUGAAAUUAGUUGCUAAUAACCGCAUAAUAGCAGUUGGGUCCGGCCAUGGCUCCUGACUGCCAAAGAAUUUAUCGCUCUGAGAUGGCCUCGCGUCUGAUUAGCUAG